AAAAUAUUAAAUGAGUGGAAUGAAAAUUUUGCUUUCAUAUAACUACCCAUUUGUGGGACUACAAUGGGUAUAUGGUUGUUGUUAUACCCUUGUACUAACACAAAUUAUAUUUCCUUAGUUAAAAUAUCUAUUUUUAUAUCUUGAGUAAGCCCGGGCCUUACAUAACUAGUAUAUGUAUAUACACACAUACAUAUACACAUCGGGCCUAGACCUUUUUUUUCCUUAUUUGACCAGGCCCAGUCCAGACAGACCAGACCCGACCUAACUUCCUUAUUUCAACCAAACAUGUCCACGAUACACACAAACAGACCUCAAAGGUCUUGUGUGUUGUGGAAACAAGGGUUUCGUUGCAAACCCUAGUGUCGUCACUAGUUUGUCUUCUCUUUUCUUCGUCAUCGUUGCCGUUGAUGGCAAAAAGUCAGGUGUACAACACCUUUUGUAGACCUGGCAUGGUUGAUUGAAUUUGCCUCCUCUCUCCAGCAUAACACAACCAAACAAGGUAAAACACUUAUCCCUUUUGCUUUUUUUCAAUUGUACGGUCAAACGAGUAUAAACCCCUUAAUGGGAUUUGUCUCAGGACUAAUUUCAAUGCCCGAUUUUGAUUGGUUGUUGAGGUUUAGGCGGGAUGCAAGAUGAAUCUCUUGCAAAUUUCACUUAUCACUUUAUUCAUUCAUUCAUUGAUUAAUAUUCACACAUACAAGGCUCGAUUUAGAGAAAAAAACAACUCAAAUUACCUAGGGUUUUAGCAUUUCUGCUGAGACCUUUAACUAUUUGAGUUUAGUAAAAUUUUAAACUGUUCAUUUUCUUGUUUGUGGCUGAGUUUCGAGGAGGAGCAAGGAUCUCAACUCCAAAUCUCGACAAAGGCUGCGCACAAAAAAGGUGACGUGGGCAAUUUGGGCCAGUCCUUCACAAGCCAUUAUUGGGCCAGAGGCCUAACAUUCUUUUUUCUAUCGAGUCUGAGUGCAAGGAACGUCAUGAAGGCCCAACCAUAGGUGAAAAUGGCAACUGGUGGGCUUCGGUAGGCCCACCAGGCUAACUCUUUCCUUUAUAUAUACUAGAUGCCCGUGCGCACGGGCCCAACACUUCGGAUUAUAAUGUAUCUAUGUAUAUAUAAUUGUGUUUAGAUAGUGAAUAUAUAUAUAUAUAUAUAUAUAUAUAUGUACUAUGUUCAAAAUACGAUUAAUAUAACAUUGUAGUUUGUGCUCUG